rnacentral:misc_RNA from 1 species
UCUCCGUAGGUGAACCUGCGGAGGGAUCAUUACUGAGUGAGGGCCUUCGGGCUCGACCUCCAACCCUUUGUGAACACAACUUGUUGCUUCGGGGGCGACCCUGCCGCUUUCGCGGCAUUCCCCCCGGAGGUCAUCAAAACACUGCAUCUUUGCGUCGGAGUUUAAGUAAAUUAAACAAAACUUUCAACAACGGAUCUCUUGGUUCUGGCAUCGAUGAAGAACGCAGC